UUUGAAUUCUGAUUUGUUAUUUGUGAAUCUUGACCCAUAAUAACUGCCAGCAACGAUUGCCAGGUGCGCUCAAUGGGCAGGAUACGCAAGUUGAAAAAUACUAGAUAUUACGGUAUAAUAGAGACACGGUGGCAACAAUGCGUUCGACAAAUGAUGAAAGACGAGGAAAGACCGGUUUAUGCGGCUGUACAUCGUCUGUGAACCCAGCAGCACAGCCUCUGUAUGAGUACUACUGCGACGACUAUUAAACGCAUCAAACCGACCGCUCGGACCAGGCGCACCUAUUACUGAUAUCUUCUACGUGCUGGUGUUGACAUUCGCUAUUGUAUCGGCCCAUUCUUCUUUCUCGCCGGCAGAACCAAUCUGAUCAUAUGAACUUGGGGUGAAGGGAGAGUAUGAAGGCGAAAGAUGGCAGAUCCGAAUGUCGUUAAGUAAUGGGUUUUGUUUGAAGAAUGGAUGUAAGGUCUUAUUGAUCAUCGAAACUCUAUGAUGCCAUUUAUGCU
rnacentral:sRNA from 1 species